rnacentral:rRNA from 1 species
GACGAACGCUGGCGGCGUGCCUAAUACAUGCAAGUUGAGCGCUGAAGGUUGGUACUUGUACCAACUGGAUGAGCAGCGAACGGGUGAGUAACGCGUGGGGAAUCUGCCUUUGAGCGGGGGACAACAUUUGGAAACGAAUGCUAAUACCGCAUAAAAACUUUAAACACAAGUUUUAAGUUUGAAAGAUGCAAUUGCAUCACUCAAAGAUGAUCCCGCGUUGUAUUAGCUAGUUGGUGAGGUAAAGGCUCACCAAGGCGAUGAUACAUAGCCGACCUGAGAGGGUUAUCGGCCACAAUGGGACGGAGACACGGCCCAAACUCCUACGGGAGGCAGCCGUAGGGAAUCAUCGGCAAUGGGCGAAAGUCUGACCGAGCAACGCCGCGGGAGGUAAGAAGGGUUUCGGGUCGUAAAACUCUGUUUGUAGAGAAGAACGUGGGGGAGAGUGGAAAGCUCAUCAAGUGACGGUAACUACACAGAAAGGGACGGCUAACUACGUG